UACGAGGGGGGCGAGCGUUGUUCGGAAUUAUUGGGCGUAAAGGGUGCGUAGGCGGUUUGGUAAGUCUUGUGUGAAAUCUCCAGGCUCAACUUGGAGUCUGCACGAGAAACUGCCGGGCUUGAGUGUGGGAGAGGUGAGUGGAAUUCCUGGUGUAGCGGUGAAAUGCGUAGAUAUCAGGAGGAACACCAAUGGCGAAGGCAGCUCGCUGGGACGUGACUGACGCUGAGACGCGAAAGCGUGGGGAGCAAACAGG
rnacentral:rRNA from 1 species